GACGAACGCUGGCGGCGUGCUUAACACAUGCAAGUCGAACGGAAAGGCCCUGCGUUUGUGUGGUGCUCGAUUGGCGAACGGGUGAGUAACACGUGAGUAACCUGCCCUUGACUUUCGGAUAACUUCAGGAAACUGGGGCUCAUACCGCAUAGGAGCUCCUGCUGCAUGGUGUGGGUUGGAAAGUUUCGGCGGUUGUGGAUGGACUCGCGGCUUAUCAGCUUGUUGGUGGAGUAGUGGCUGACGAAGGCUAUGACGGGUAGCCGGCCUGAGAGGGUGGACGGCGACCUUGGGACUGAGAUACGGAGCAGUAUGCUACGGUCGGCAGCAGUGGGGAAUAUGGCGGAACGGGCGGAAGCCAGAGGCAGCGACGCCCCGUGCGGGAUGACCGCUUUCGAGUUGUAAACCGCUUUCGCCGGUGACGAAGAGUGAGUGACGGUAAUGGGUAAAGAAGCAACGGCUAACUACGUG
rnacentral:rRNA from 1 species